GGGUUGUUAGCUCAGUCAGUAGAGCAUAGUGCUAACAACACCAAGGUCGUGGGUUUGAUUCCCAUUCGGUCCC
rnacentral:tRNA from 1 species